GGAGAGAUCGCAUAGUUGGUCUAGUGCGCCUGAUUGGAGUUCAGGUAGGCCCGCAAGGGUCUCGGGGGUUCGAAUCCCCCUCUCUCCGCCA
rnacentral:tRNA from 1 species